rnacentral:rRNA from 1 species
UACGGGGGGGGCAAGCGUUGUUCGGAAUUACUGGGCGUAAAGGGCGCGUAGGCGGUUGGAUAAGUCGGCUGUGAAAACCACGGGCUUAACUCGUGGCCUGCAGUUGAGACUGUCUGGCUUGAGUGUGGGAGAGGAGAGUGGAAUUCCUGGUGUAGCGGUGAAAUGCGUAGAUAUCAGGAGGAACACCGGUGGCGAAGGCGGCUCUCUGGACCACAACUGACGCUGAGGCGCGAAAGCUAGGGGAGCAAACAGG